rnacentral:rRNA from 1 species
AUACGGAGGGUCCAAGCGUUAUCCGGAUUCAUUGGGUUUAAAGGGUCCGCAGGCGGUCAAUUAAGUCAGAGGUGAAAGCCCAUCGCUCAACGAUGGAACUGCCUUUGAUACUGGUUGACUUGAGUUAUACGGAAGUAGAUAGAAUAAGUAGUGUAGCGGUGAAAUGCAUAGAUAUUACUUAGAAUACCGAUUGCGAAGGCAGUCUACUACGUAUAUACUGACGCUGAGGGACGAAAGCGUGGGGAGCGAACAGGAUUAGAAACCCCAGUAGUCC